CUUAUGCCGGCGACCGGCGGACGGGUGCGUAACGCGUAUGUAACCUACCUUUGACAGGGGGAUAACAUCGAGAAAUUGGUACUAAUACCCCAUAACAUCACCGGGGGCAUCUUCGGUGGUUGAAAACUCAGGUGGUCAGAGAUGGACAUGCGUUGUAUUAGCUAGUUGGUGAGGUAACGGCUCACCAAGGCGACGAUACAUAGGGGGACUGAGAGGUCAACCCCCCACAUUGGUACUGAGACACGGACCAAACUCCUACGGAAGGCAGCAG
rnacentral:rRNA from 1 species